AACUGAUACUACCUGCGGGAACCUGCGGAAGGAUCAUUACCGAGUGAGUUGGGGAUUGGUUGGGAUGAGAUCCAGUUGGGUUUUUAUCCAUUUGGGUUUUAUCCAGCCAGCCAACCGACAUUUGCUCUUGGUGUGUGUGGAUUAGGGGAGGAUUGGUGUUGAUUGGGGACCGAUUGGUGUUGAUUGACCCAAAUCCCCUUCCUCUACACACCCAAACAUGCUUGCUUGAAUGUUUGACUG
rnacentral:misc_RNA from 1 species